CCUUGGGGUCCCAAUUCCUCACUAUUUGGGAGGCUGAGACUAGAGGAUGACUUGAGCCCAGGAGUUCUGAGCUUUAGUGCGCUAUGCCAGGGCCGUGUCCACCAAGUUUACCAUCAAUAUGGUGAUCUCUUGGGGGGUGGGGAGGGGGACCACGAAGUUGCCUGUGGAGGGUAAACCAACCUGGGUUAGAAUGGAGCAGGUCAAAACUUACCCUCUGAUCUGUAGUGGGAUCAUACCUAUGAGUAGCCACUGUGCUCCAGCCUGGGUGACAGAUGGAGACUUGCCUUU
rnacentral:SRP_RNA from 1 species